CAGUAGCCGCGGUAAUACGAAGGGGGCUAGCGUUGUUUGGAAUUACUGGGCGUAAAGCGCACGUAGGCGGAUAUUUAAGUCAGGGGUGAAAUCCCAGAGCUCAACUCUGGAACUGCCUUUGAUACUGGGUAUCUUGAGUAUGGAAGAGGUGAGUGGAAUUCCGAGUGUAGAGGUGAAAUUCGUAGAUAUUCGGAGGAACACCAGUGGCGAAGGCGGCUCACUGGUCCAUUACUGACGCUGAGGUGCGAAAGCGUGGGGAGCAAACAGGAUUAGAUACCCCUGUAGUCCCUGUCUCUUAUAC
rnacentral:rRNA from 1 species